rnacentral:ncRNA from 1 species
AAAUGUAUGUUGAUGAAGAAAGUAGAUAUAUGAGUUUUACUAGAGAGGAAAAGUCAAGGCUGGGAGCUUUUCUUAAAAGGAGUAUAUUGAAGUUCACUUCGGAGUACUGACUGUGAAAAUAUCUUAGUAGCAGCCAGCGGUGAGAGUCGUUAAAUUUAUCUAAGAGAACAGAGGUUGCUCUGUUAAUUAGGGUGGUACCGCGGAAUAUCCGUCCCUUUU